AAUAGAUACCCAGGUAGUCCACGCCGUAAACGAUGAGUGCUAAGUGUUAGAGGGUUUCCGCCCUUUAGUGCUGCAGCAAACGCAUUAAGCACUCCGCCUGGGGAGUACGGUCGCAAGACUGAAACUCAAAGGAAUUGACGGGGGCCCGCACAAGCGGUGGAGCAUGUGGUUUAAUUCGAAGCAACGCGAAGAACCUUACCAGGUCUUGACAUCCUUAUGCCAUCCCUAGAGAUAGGGCUUUCCCUUCGGGGACAUAAGUGACGGGUGGUGCAUGGUUGUCGUCAGCUCGUGUCGUGAGAUGUUGGGUUAAGUCCCGCAACGAGCGCAACCCUUGAUCUUAGUUGCCAGCAUUAAGUUGGGCACUCUAAGGUGACUGCCGGUGACAAACCGGAGGAAGGUGGGGAUGACGUCAAAUCAUCAUGCCCCUUAUGACCUGGGCUACACACGUGCUACAAUGGAUGGUACAAAGGGCAGCGAAACCGCGAGGUUAAGCCAAUCCCAUAAAACCAUUCUCAGUUCGGAUUGCAGGCUGCAAC
rnacentral:rRNA from 1 species